CGGGACACGUGGUAUCCUGUCUGAAUAUGGGGGGACCAUCCUCCAAGGCUAAAUACUCCUGACUGACCGAUAGUGAACCAGUACCGUGAGGGAAAGGCGAAAAGAACCCCGGCGAGGGGAGUGAAAAAGAACCUGAAACCGUGUACGUACAAGCAGUGGGAGCCUCUUAAUGGGGUGACUGCGUACCUUUUGUAUAAUGGGUCAGCGACUUAUAUUCUGUAGCAAGGUUAACCGAAUAGGGGAGCCGAAGGGAAACCGAGUCUUAACUGGGCGUUAAGUUGCAGGGUAUAGACCCGAAACCCGGUGAUCUAGCCAUGGGCAGGUUGAAGGUUGGGUAACACUAACUGGAGGACCGAACCGACUAAUGUUGAAAAAUUAGCGGAUGACUUGUGGCUGGGGGUGAAAGGCCAAUCAAACCGGGAGAUAGCUGGUUCUCCCCGAAAGCUAUUUAGGUAGCGCCUCGUGAAUUCAUCUCCGGGGGUAGAGCACUGUUUCGGCAAGGGGGUCAUCCCGACUUACCAACCCGAUGCAAACUGCGAAUACCGGAGAAUGUUAUCACGGGAGACACACGGCGGGUGCUAACGUCCGUCGUGAAGAGGGAAACAACCCAGACCGCCAGCUAAGGUCCCAAAGUCAUGGUUAAGUGGGAAACGAUGUGGGAAGGCCCAGACAGCCAGGAUGUUGGCUUAGAAGCAGCCAUCAUUUAAAGAAAGCGUAAUAGCUCACUGGUCGAGUCGGCCUGCGCGGAAGAUGUAACGGGGCUAAACCAUGCACCGAAGCUGCGGCAGCGACACUGUGUGUUGUUGGGUAGGGGAGCGUUCUGUAAGCCUGCGAAGGUGUGCUGUGAGGCAUGCUGGAGGUAUCAGAAGUGCGAAUGCUGACAUAAGUAACGAUAAAGCGGGUGAAAAGCCCGCUCGCCGGAAGACCAAGGGUUCCUGUCCAACGUUAAUCGGGGCAGGGUGAGUCGACCCCUAAGGCGAGGCCGAAAGGCGUAGUCGAUGGGAAACAGGUUAAUAUUCCUGUACUUGGUGUUACUGCGAAGGGGGGACGGAGAAGGCUAUGUUGGCCGGGCGACGGUUGUCCCGGUUUAAGCGUGUAGGCUGGUUUUCCAGGCAAAUCCGGAAAACCAAGGCUGAGGCGUGAUGACGAGGCACUACGGUGCUGAAGCGACAAAUGCCCUGCUUCCAGGAAAAGCCUCUAAGCAUCAGGUAACAUCAAAUCGUACCCCAAACCGACACAGGUGGUCAGGUAGAGAAUACCAAGGCGCUUGAGAGAACUCGGGUGAAGGAACUAGGCAAAAUGGUGCCGUAACUUCGGGAGAAGGCACGCUGAUAUGUAGGUGAAGCGACUUGCUCGUGGAGCUGAAAUCAGUCGAAGAUACCAGCUGGCUGCAACUGUUUAUUAAAAACACAGCACUGUGCAAACACGAAAGUGGACGUAUACGGUGUGACGCCUGCCCGGUGCCGGAAGGUUAAUUGAUGGGGUUAGCGGCAACGCGAAGCUCUUGAUCGAAGCCCCGGUAAACGGCGGCCGUAACUAUAACGGUCCUAAGGUAGCGAAAUUCCUUGUCGGGUAAGUUCCGACCUGCACGAAUGGCGUAAUGAUGGCCAGGCUGUCUCCACCCGAGACUCAGUGAAAUUGAACUCGCUGUGAAGAUGCAGUGUACCCGCGGCAAGACGGAAAGACCCCGUGAACCUUUACUAUAGCUUGACACUGAACAUUGAGCCUUGAUGUGUAGGAUAGGUGGGAGGCUUUGAAGUGUGGACGCCAGUCUGCAUGGAGCCGACCUUGAAAUACCACCCUUUAAUGUUUGAUGUUCUAACGUUGGCCCCUAAUCGGGGUUGCGGACAGUGUCUGGUGGGUAGUUUGACUGGGGCGGUCUCCUCCUAAAGAGUAACGGAGGAGCACGAAGGUUGGCUAAUCCUGGUCGGACAUCAGGAGGUUAGUGCAAUGGCAUAAGCCAGCUUGACUGCGAGCGUGACGGCGCGAGCAGGUGCGAAAGCAGGUCAUAGUGAUCCGGUGGUUCUGAAUGGAAGGGCCAUCGCUCAACGGAUAAAAGGUACUCCGGGGAUAACAGGCUGAUACCGCCCAAGAGUUCAUAUCGACGGCGGUGUUUGGCACCUCGAUGUCGGCUCAUCACAUCCUGGGGCUGAAGUAGGUCCCAAGGGUAUGGCUGUUCGCCAUUUAAAGUGGUACGCGAGCUGGGUUUAGAACGUCGUGAGACAGUUCGGUCCCUAUCUGCCGUGGGCGCUGGAGAACUGAGGGGGGCUGCUCCUAGUACGAGAGGACCGGAGUGGACGCAUCACUGGUGUUCGGGUUGUCAUGCCAAUGGCACUGCCCGGUAGCUAAAUGCGGAAGAGAUAAGUGCUGAAAGCAUCUAAGCACGAAACUUGCCCCGAGAUG
rnacentral:rRNA from 1 species